UAACGGUUGCUUUCUGCGACUCAGCGAAGCAGCAGUGGUGCAUUUCUUAGGGUUCCCGGUAAUGGCGAUAGAGACACAAUCUGGACCGCUAACUUGCAGGUCCUCAGUGGUAACAUUCAUCUGCAUGUGUUGCUCAUAGCACUGUAGCCUGGGUACCUGCAAACAUGCGAGAGAUGUUGGCAUGUCCUCGGGGAGGAUGUGUCUGAGAGCGCUAGUGUGCUAGUCCAGUCCGCCAGUCCAGUACACACACACACACACACACACACACACGCGCGCGCGUGCGUAGACAUGGAGAGCGCUGGGAGUGUAGUCCUUUGUUCUGCAGUGAACAAAUGCAGUGUUCCAAAUUGUUGGCGGCUUGUAGUAUAGUUGUUGUUGGCAAGUGGCAUUAGCUAAUAGGCGCGGGUUGCUUGUUGGUUGGCAUGUAGCGCUCGUUUACAGCUUUGCCUCCCUGCAUCCAGUGCAGCCUUAGGCCUUAGUUGGUGGAAAGCCAGUACAGGAGUCUGUGAAGAUGCCAGGCAAGGCAGAGACUUGUGAUCUGCAGCCUCUGCAGUCUCUGGGUAGCGACCACGGCUACAUACGGAUGGCUAUGGUGGCUAAGUUCACUUAUUCACUGCUGCUGCGUCAACUGCCCGAUGCAGCGUCCCUACCUAACGAGGUAGCUUCCAGACAGCCAUUCCGCCGAGGACUGAUAGGUUUGGCGGAGUGUCUUAUCUGCACCUCUUCGGCUAUACAUUUGAUGGGCGGGGGUGCGUGCAAGGCCGACGUACAUGCAGAGUAGUUGCAGGCUCGCGGAGAAUUGUGCCAGUAGUGUGCGGUGUUGUAGUAAAUAACAUUUCAACGACAUAAUUAACUAGGCCAUAACAGCGCAUACCGCAUGUGUUUUAUAAGGGCCUUAGGCAGCUUUACAGGUUAGGCAGUCAGUCAUCCGUCAACCGGGCUGACUUCCGGAAAGUUAGUUCAUUCAGAGUUCAUCCAUCCCGCAGGCGCCGUGGGGGCCUGAGAUGUUAAGCAUGUAUGUGUAACAGUUUUUUAUGGUCACCUCAAUCUCUGAUUCCGACGGCAUGCAACCGUGGAGCUAGAGGCAUGCUCCUUCCAAUCAUAGUGCCAAGUACGGCCCCUUGCAGCAGAGCGCGCGCGUACGUUAAUUAUCGAUCUGUUAGAAGACAGCUGACGUAUCGCCAGCACCGCGAACGGUGCACAGGUGUCCUUGACCUUAGGUGCAGGAUGGGAAAGUGGAUAGUGGAAGCAGGUUUAUGUUGGGAAUGUUAGCAGUGGCGGCAAGGAUAGUAAGCAUUUGCUUCUGCAGGUACAGCAUUACGGGUGCAUGAGGCUACUUGCAAGCUGUAUGUAUGUAUGUAUGUAUGUAUGUAUGUAUGUAUGUAUGUAUGCAUGCAUUAUGUUGCCCGAAAUUGUGCAAGGCCAGGGAAACGUUGGCCCCCCUGCUUGCUUUGUUACCUAUCUUCGCUGCCCGGACCCAGCUUUCCGGAGUUAUCUGGAACAAAGCCAAGCCGCCACGUACUGUGUGGACGCGCAGAGGCAGGCGGUGGAAGCAUGAAGCGCGUGCGGGGGGGAUUGCAACACGUCCCUCACGGCUCGGGCUGUCUGCAUGAUCAAAUCUGGUCACGAGCGUUAAAUACCACCUCCUGGUUAUUAUAGCUUCCGAGGGCUCGUCAUUAGUUGGAGAGAUGGAUGGACAGAUGGAUGGAUUACUUGUUUCGUUGGAAGUGCGAGGUAGGAUGGUGCUUAUAGGCGAAUUGGCAGCCCUUGAGCUCUCGGCUCGUAUUAGGGUGGUUUGCAGGUACAGGGAACGCACCCACGGCAGCCACCAUCCGCAUUUCAGAUCUGCUGCAACAGGAUGAUAGAUAAGCAGCAAAUACAAGAAAUCCGUCACCACUUCCUGACAGCUUUCCUUACACUGCACUUCUCGGCUGGGUCCAGUCAGUGCUGGCAGGCAGGUUGGCUUCCAUGCAAGCCGUCUUUAGAGCUCUCCUCGCGUAAACUCGUACUUAAUGAUCGCCAGGCAAGAGAGCUGAAUGAUUUAUGAAUGAUGGAAUGCCUAUGGACUCAUUAUCAAUGGCUGACAUAGCCAGAAGCAGAGAUGAAUUGGCUUGGGGGAAGAUGCCCUAUCGUGUUCCCGUUUUCCGUCUGGGCUCCUUAGAUACUUAUUAGGUUGUGUGGGAUGAUUUUUGCAUAUGUUAGCAGGUGCGGGCCCUAGCAAAUUAUUUUAGGAUAAGUCGCAGCGUUUCCUUUUGGCGGGCUUUGCAGCAACUCCAUGUAUCAACGCGCAACACCUUUGUCGCUGGAGAAGCGUCUUCCUGUGCGGUGUAAUAUCUAACAAGCAGAUGUCGAAGUUUUACUGCAUUGCUACGACUGCAAACGCAUUCGAUGCAAUUUGUACUGCUACAGCACGUCCAGGAGCAACGCCCCUUGCAGUCGUUCUGCAGUUACGUAUUACUAGG
rnacentral:lncRNA from 1 species